rnacentral:rRNA from 1 species
GGCCUGGGGGGCAACUCCCAGAGUCGAGCGGCGGACGGGUGAGUAACACGUGGGUAACCUGCCCGGAAGUGGGGAAUACCUCGGGGAAACUCGAGCUAAUUCCGCAUGACAUCUUCGGGACGAAAGUCCUGACGAUCAAAGCGGGGUCGCAAGAUCUCGCGCUACCGGAUGGGCCCGCGCCCGAUUAGCUAGUUGGUGAGGUAACGGCUCACCAAGGCUUCGAUCGGUAACCGGCCUGAGAGGGCGAUCGGUCACACCGGAACUGAGACACGGUCCGGACUCCUACGGGAGGCAGCAGUGGGGAAUCUUGCGCAAUGGGCGAAAGCCUGACGCAGCAACGCCGCGUGGAGGAUGAAGGCCCUUGGGUUGUAAACUCCUGUCGGCUGGGAAGAAAUCGUUCGUGGCUCAUACCCACGGACGUUGACUGUACCAGCAAAGGAAGCCCCGGCUAACUCUGUGCCAGCAGCCGCGGUAAUACAGAGGGGGCUAGCGUUAUUCGGAAUUAUUGGGCGUAAAGGGCGCGUAGGCGGCCAUGCGUGUCUUCCGUGAAAUCCCUCGGCUUAACUGAGGACGUGCGGAAGAAACUGCAAGGCUCGAGUCCGGGAGAGGGGGGGUGGAAUUCCCAGUGUAGCGGUGAAAUGCGUAGAUAUUGGGAGGAACACCGGUGGCGAAGGCGGCCCCCUGGACCGGUACUGACGCUGAGGCGCGAAAGCGUGGGUAGCAAACGGGAUUAGAUACCCCGGUAGUCCACGCCGUAAACGAUGGGCACUUGGUGUCGCGGGUAUCGACCCCUGCGGUGCCGAAGCUAACGCAUUAAGUGCCCCGCCUGGGGAGUACGGUCGCAAGGCUG